CCACCUUUGACAUGUACGGAAGAUCGCAGAGACGCGAUUGUGCUCGAAAGAGAGCCGUAACACAGGUGCUGCAUGGCUGUCGUCAGCUCGUGUCGUGAGAUGUUGGGUUAAGUCCCGCAACGAGCGCAACCCUUGCCAUUAGUUGCUACAUUUAGUUGGGCACUCUAAUGGGACUGCCGGUGACAAACCGGAGGAAGGUGGGGAUGACGUCAAGUCCUCAUGGCCCUUAUAGGUGGGGCUACACACGUCAUACAAUGGCUGGUACAAAGGGUUGCCAACCCGCGAGGGGGAGCUAAUCCCAUAAAGCCAGUCGUAGUCCGGAUCGUAGUCUGCAACUCGACUACGUGAAGUCGGAAUCGCUAGUAAUCGUGGAUCAGAAUGUCACGGUGAAUACGUUCC
rnacentral:rRNA from 1 species